rnacentral:rRNA from 1 species
UACGGGGGGGACAAGCGUUGUUCGGAAUUACUGGGCGUAAAGGGCUCGUAGGUGGCCAACUAAGUCAGACGUGAAAUCCCUCGGCUUAACCGGGGAACUGCGUCUGAUACUGGAUGGCUUGAGUUCGGAAGAGGCGAGUGGAAUUCCCGGUGUAGCGGUGAAAUGCGUAGAGAUCGGAAGGAACACCCAAGGCGAAAGCACUCUGCUGGGCCGACACUGACACUGAGAGACGAAAGCUAGGGGAGCAAAUGGG